rnacentral:snRNA from 1 species
AUAAAGAAGUAGUAUAUACCUUGAUCACAAGGUGGUUUUCCCAGGGCCAGUCUCAUCCAUUGAACUGAAGGUGUACUAAUUCCUAUGAUUUCCCCGAAUGUGGGAAACUUGAUUGCAUAGCUUGUGGCAGCUGGGGACAGCCUUUGCACUCCCCCCUG